rnacentral:rRNA from 1 species
CCCAAACCCCUGUGAACAUACCAAUUGUUGCCUCGGCGGAUCAGCCCGCUCCCGGUAAAACGGGACGGCCCGCCAGAGGACCCCUAAACUCUGUUUCUAUAUGUAACUUCUGAGUAAAACCAUAAAUAAAUCAAAACUUUCAACAACGGAUCUCUUGGUUCUGGCAUCGAUGAAGAACGCAGCAAAAUGCGAUAAGUAAUGUGAAUUGCAGAAUUCAGUGAAUCAUCGAAUCUUUGAACGCACAUUGCGCCCGCCAGUAUUCUGGCGGGCAUGCCUGUUCGAGCGUCAUUUCAACCCUCAAGCCCAGCUUGGUGUUGGGACUCGCGAGUCAAAUCGCGUUCCCCAAAUUGAUUGGCGGUCACGUCGAGCUUCCAUAGCGUAGUAGUAAAACCCUCGUUACUGGUAAUCGUCGCGGCCACGCCGUUAAACCCCAACUUCUGAAUGUUGACCUCGGAUCAGGUAGGAAUACCCGCUGAACUUAAGCAUAUCAAUAAGCGGAGGAAAAGAAACCAACAGGGAUUGCCCUAGUAACGGCGAGUGAAGCGGCAACAGCUCAAAUUUGAAAUCUGGCUCUCGGGCCCGAGUUGUAAUUUGUAGAGGAUACUUUUGAUGCGGUGCCUUCCGAGUUCCCUGGAACGGGACGCCAUAGAGGGUGAGAGCCCCGUCUGGUUGGAUGCCAAAUCUCUGUAAAGUUCCUUCGACGAGUCGAGUAGUUUGGGAAUGCUGCUCUAAAUGGGAGGUAUAUGUCUUCUAAAGCUAAAUACCGGCCAGAGACCGAUAGCGCACAAGUAGAGUGAUCGAAAGAUGAAAAGCACUUUGAAAAGAGAGUUAAAAAGUACGUGAAAUUGUUGAAAGGGAAGCGUUUAUGACCAGACUUGGGCUUGGUUAAUCAUCUGGGGUUCUCCCCAGUGCACUUUUCCAGUCCAGGCCAGCAUCAGUUUUUGCCGGGGGAUAAAGACUUCGGGAAUGUGGCUCUCUUCGGGGAGUGUUAUAGCCCG